UGGGGAAUAUUGCACAAUGGGCGCAAGCCUGAUGCAGCCAUGCCGCGUGUGUGAAGAAGGCCUUCGGGUUGUAAAGCACUUUCAGCGGGGAGGAAGGCGAUAAGGUUAAUAACCUUGUCGAUUGACGUUACCCGCAGAAGAAGCACCGGCUAACUCCGUGCCAGCAGCCGCGGUAAUACGGAGGGUGCAAGCGUUAAUCGGAAUUACUGGGCGUAAAGCGCACGCAGGCGGUCUGUCAAGUCGGAUGUGAAAUCCCCGGGCUUAACCUGGGAACUGCAUUCGAAACUGGCAGGCUAGAGUCUUGUAGAGGGGGGUAGAAUUCCAGGUGUAGCGGUGAAAUGCGUAGGGAUCUGGAGGAAUACCGGUGGCGAAGGCGGCCCCCUGGACAAAGACUGACGCUCAGGUGCGAAAGCGUGGGGAGCAAACAGG
rnacentral:rRNA from 1 species